GACGAACGCUGGCGGCGUGCUUAACACAUGCAAGUCGAACGGUGAACCUCUUCGGAGGGGAUCAGUGGCGAACGGGUGAGUAACACGUGGGCAACCUGCCCCCGGCUCUGGGAUAACUCCAAGAAAUUGGGGCUAAUACCGGAUGUUCACCGCUUCCCGCAUGGGUGGUGGUGGAAAGGGUUUCCGGCUGGGGAUGGGCCCGCGGCCUAUCAGCUUGUUGGUGGGGUAGUGGCCUACCAAGGCGACGACGGGUAGCCGGCCUGAGAGGGUGACCGGCCACACUGGGACUGAGACACGGCCCAGACUCCUACGGGAGGCAGCAGUGGGGAAUAUUGCGCAAUGGGCGGAAGCCUGACGCAGAGACGCCGCGUGGGGGAUGACGGCCUUCGGGUUGUAAACCUCUUUCAGCAGGGACGAAGCGAAAGUGACGGUACCUGCAGAAGAAGCACCGGCCAACUACGUG
rnacentral:rRNA from 1 species